UACGUAGGGUGCGAGCGUUAAUCGGAAUUACUGGGCGUAAAGCGUGCGCAGGCGGUGAUGUAAGACAGAUGUGAAAUCCCCGGGCUCAACCUGGGAACUGCAUUUGUGACUGCAUGGCUAGAGUGCGGCAGAGGGGGAUGGAAUUCCGCGUGUAGCAGUGAAAUGCGUAGAUAUGCGGAGGAACACCGAUGGCGAAGGCAAUCCCCUGGGCCUGCACUGACGCUCAUGCACGAAAGCGUGGGGAGCAAACAGG
rnacentral:rRNA from 1 species